GCUGGGCACGGUGGUGCAUGCCUGUAAUCCCAGCAACCAGGAGGCUGCAGAGGCUGAGGUAAGAGGAUUGCAAGUUUUAGGCCAGCCUAAGCAA
rnacentral:sRNA from 1 species